rnacentral:piRNA from 1 species
AGGACUAGAAUGCAUAGAGGAUCUA